rnacentral:rRNA from 1 species
AGAGUUUGAUCCUGGCUCAGAACGAACGUUAGCGGCACGCCUAACACAUGCAAGUCGCACGAGAAAGGGCUUCGGCCCCGGUACAGUGGCGCACGGGUGAGUAACACGUGGGUAAUCUACCUUCGGAUGGGGGAUAACACUUCGAAAGGGGUGCUAAUACCGCAUAAGCUCACGACCUCUUCGGGGGUUGGGAGAAAAGCAGGCCUCUUCAUGAAAGCUUGUGUCUGAAGAUGAGCCCGCGGCCCAUCAGUUAGUUGGCAGGGUAAUGGCCUACCAAGACGAAGACGGGUAGCUGGUCUGAGAGGAUGAUCAGCCACACUGGAACUGAGACACGGUCCAGACUCCUACGGGAGGCAGCAGUGGGGAAUCUUGCGCAAUGGGCGAAAGCCUGACGCAGCGACGCCGCGUGAGUGAUGAAGGCCUUCGGGUUGUAAAGCUCUGUGGGGAGAGAAGAAUAAGUCGUCGUGAAUAACGCCGAUGAUGACGGUAUCUCCUUAGCAAGCACCGGCUAACUCUGUGCCAGCAGCCGCGGUAAGACAGAGGGUGCAAACGUUGUUCGGAAUUACUGGGCGUAAAGCGAGUGUAGGCGGUGAGAUAAGUCGGACGUGAAAGCCCGGGGCUCAACCUCGGAAGUGCGCUCGAUACUGUCUCGCUUGAGUGUCGGAGAGGUUGGUGGAAUUCUGGGUGUAGAGGUGAAAUUCGUAGAUAUCCAGAGGAACACCGGUGGCGAAGGCGGCCAACUGGACGACUACUGACGCUGAGACUCGAAAGUGUGGGGAGCAAACAGGAUUAGAUACCCUGGUAGUCCACACCGUAAACGAUGAAUGCCAGUCGUCGGGCAGUAUACUGUUCGGUGACACACCUAACGGAUUAAGCAUUCCGCCUGGGGAGUACGGUCGCAAG